GAUGAACGCUGGCGGCGUGCUUAACACAUGCAAGUCGAACGGUGAAGGCGGAGCUUGCUCUGCUGGAUCAGUGGCGAACGGGUGAGUAACACGUGAGCAAUCUGCCCCUGACUCUGGGAUAAGCGCUGGAAACGGCGUCUAAUACUGGAUACGAGCUGCGAAGGCAUCUUCAGCAGCUGGAAAGAAUUUCGGUCAGGGAUGAGCUCGCGGCCUAUCAGCUUGUUGGUGAGGUAAUGGCUCACCAAGGCGUCGACGGGUAGCCGGCCUGAGAGGGUGACCGGCCACACUGGGACUGAGACACGGCCCAGACUCCUACGGGAGGCAGCAGGGGGGAAUAUUGCACAAUGGGCGAAAGCCUGAUGCAGCAACGCCGGGUGAGGGACGACGGCCUUCGGGUUGUAAACCUCUUUGAGCAGGGAAGAAGCGAAAGUGACGGUACCUGCAGAAAAAGCGCCGGCUAACUACGUG
rnacentral:rRNA from 1 species